UGAGUGCGAGCUGCUACGGCAGCGAAGUUGGUGAUGUCAUGCUUCCAAGAAAAGCCCUAUACCCGUUAAGGCAUCAUGGCCUGUACCCGAAACCGACACAGGUGGGGUGGUAGAGAAUACCGAGGGGCGCGAGGUAACUCUCUCUAAGGAACUCGGCAAAAUGGCCCCGUAACUUCGGGAGAAGGGGUGCCACCGCAAGGUGGUCGCAGUGAAGAGGCCCAGGCGACUGUUUACCAAAAACACAGGUCUCCGCUAAGUCGCAAGACGAUGUAUGGGGGCUGACGCCUGCCCAGUGCCGGAAGGUUAAGGAAGCUGGUCAGCGCAAGCGAAGCUAGCGACUGAAGCCCCGGUGAACGGCGGCCGUAACAAUAACGGUCCUAAGGUAGCGAAAUUCCUUGUCGGGUAAGUUCCGACCCGCACGAAAGGCGUAACGAUCUGGGCGCUGUCUCGGAGAGAGGCUCGGCGAAAUAGAAUUGUCUGUGAAGAUGCGGACUACGUGCACCCGGACAGAAAGACCCUAUGAAGCUUUACUGUAGCUUGGUAUUGUGCCCGGGCUCGCAAUGCGCAGGAUAGGUGGGAGGCUUUGAUCAUCGGCUUGCGGGUCGAUGUGAGCCAACGGUGAGAUACCACUCUUUGCGAGCUAGGGUUCUAACGGCCACCCGUCAUCCGGGGGCCGGACAGUACCUGGUGGGCAGUUUGACUGGGGCGGUCGCCUCCUAAAAGGUAACGGAGGCGCGCAAAGGUUUGCUCAGGCUGGUUGGAAAUCAGCCGACGAGUGUAAAAGCAGAAGCAAGCUUGACUGUGAGACCAACAAGUCGAACAGGGAGGAAACUCGGCUUUAGUGAUCCGACGGUUCUGAGUGGAAGGGCCGUCGCUCAACGGAUAAAAGUUACUCUAAGGAUAACAGGCUGAUCUCCCCCAAGAGUUCACAUCGACGGGGAGGUUUGGCACCUCGAUGUCGGCUCAUCGCAACCUGGGGCUGAAGUCGGUCCCAAGGGUUGGGCUGUUCGCCCAUUAAAGCGGUACGCGAGCUGGGUUCAGAACGUCGUGAGACAGUUCGGUCCAUAUCCGGUGCACGCGCAGGAAUAUUGAGAGGAUUUCUCCCUAGUACGAGAGGACCGGGAGGAACGCACCUCUGGUGUACCAGUUAUCGUGCCAACGGUAAACGCUGGGUAGCCAUGUGCGGAGUGGAUAACCGCUGAAAGCAUCUAAGUGGGAAGCCCACCUCAAGAUGAGUAUUCCCAUGGCGUAAGCCAGUAAGGUCACGGGAAGAACACCCGUUGAUAGGCUCUAUGUGGAAGCGCAGUAAUGCGUGAAGCAGAGGAGUACUAAUAGACC
rnacentral:rRNA from 1 species